ensembl:lncRNA
GCAGAUCCCAGUAGGGUGGCCUUAUUAUUAUUAUUAUUAUUAUUAUUAUUAUUAUUAUUAUUAUUAUUAUUUCACUCUGAUAUUAUUAUUAUUGCAUUUAUUAUUUUACUCUACUUAUUAUUACUUGUAUUAUUUUCCUGUAUUUAUUAUUAUUAUUAUUACAUGUAUUAUUUUACUCUGUUAUUAUUAAAAGGAUACAUAAACACAUUUACAUUGAAGAAGAUGAGAAUAAGGAUUUGAUCAGAGUUGGACAGUCUUAUCUUAAAUAUGAGCUUGAUGUAAAUAUUCAAAAACUUUAAACUUUUAACCUACUGAUGCCUCAAUGAAUGUAAUUUUAUUGGUACAGUAGAGUCUCAUUAAUCCAACAUAAAUGGGCUGGCAGAAGCUUGGAUAAGCGAAAAUCUUGGAUAAUAAGGAGGGAUUAAGGAAAAGCCUAUUAAACAUCAAAUUAGGUUGUGAUUUUACUAAUUAAGCACCAAAACAUCAUGUUUAACAUCAAAUUUGACAGAAAAUGUAGUUCAAUACACAGUAAUGCUACGUAGUAGUUCCUGUAUUUACGAAUUUAGUACCAAAACAUCACAAUGUAUUGAAAACAUUGACUGUAAAAACAUCUAUAUAUAUAAAAGGACUAGCUGUGCCCUGCCACGCAUUGCUGUGGCCCAUUGAAAUUGCACUGAAUAGCUCCAUUUUUUUGGGGUUUUUUAGCCCCUGUGGAGGUUCGUGACGUGAUAUUUUGUGGUUUCAACCUCGAGGCGUGGAUGAUGGAUUGUGUUGUGAAAUUUCGAGGUUGGGGGUUGUUUAGUUUUGUUGUUUUGCUCGGUGCCAGGAUUCCAUCACUCUUUUAUAUAUAUAUACUAGCUGUGCCAGCCACGCGUUGCUGUGGCGAAGUAUGGUGGUAUGGGAAAUAAAGUAUUGAGGAAUUGGUUUAUAAAUGGGUUAUAUAGCUGUGUGGAAGGGCCUUGAGUCUACACUGCCAUAUAAUCCAGUGCAAAUUAGAUAAUCUGUGGAAGAGGCCUAAGUGAAGCCUAACUCUGCCUGUCCCCUGGGCUGAGUCGGUUGCUAGGAGACCAAGUGGGCAGAGCUUAGCCUUCUAACUGGCAGCAAUUGGAUAAAAGCAAUUAUUCCUCUCUCUCUCUAAUUAGGACUUUAUUUUUCUUUUCUUUUUGUUGUAUCAACCUAGAGGUGUGGAUGAUGGGUUGUGUUGUCAAAUUUCGAGGUUGGGGGGCUUGUAGUUUUGUUGUUUUGUGGGUCGCCGUGAUGCCAUCACUCUUUUAUAUAUAUGGAUAGAUAUACUCGAGUAUAAGCCAACCCAAAUAUAAGCCAAGGCACCUCAUUUUACCACACACACACACACAAAAAAAAAACCUGGGAAAACGUUGACUCCAGUAUAAGCCAAGGGUGGCAAAUUUCAGAAAUAAAAAUAGAUAUAGUAGAGUCUCACUUAGCCGACAUAAACGGGCCGUCAGAACAUUGGAUAAGUGAAUAUGUUGGAUAAUACGGAGAGAUUAAGGAGAAGCCUAUUAAACAUCAAAUUAGGUUAUGAUUUUACAAAUUAAGCACCCUAAACAUCAUGUUAUUAUUAUUAUUAUUGUCACAACAACAUAGUCUGACACAGCAAACAAGAUAGAUAUGCUGGAUUUCAUAUCACAAAAUCACAAGUCGAACACUUCCCAAGUGUCUAGGACUGUGUGAUAUAUUUUCGGCUUAUAAUUGAGUAUAUACGUUAUAUCUGUGUCCAUUCAUUUAACACAUUCUGGAAAAGAAGUAGAAGAGACUUAGAAUCAUAGAAUCAUAGAAUAGUAGAGUUGGAAGAGACCACAUGGGCCAUCCAGUCCAACCCCCUGCCAAGAAGCAGGAAAUCACAUUCAAAGCACCCCCGACAGAUGGCCAUCCAGCCUCUGCUUAAAAGCCU